UACGUAGGUGGCAAGCGUUGUCCGGAAUCACUGGGCGUAAAGGGCGCGUAGGCGGGGAGGUAAGUCGGGUGUGAAAUCCCUCGGCCCAACUGAGGAACUGCGCCCGAGACUGCUUCUCUUGAGUCCCGGAGAGGAAGAUGGAAUUCCCGGUGUAGUGGUGAAAUGCGUAGAUAUCGGGAGGAACACCAGUGGCGAAGGCGACUACCUGGCCUGUUCUUGACGCUGAGGCGCGAAAGCUAGGGGAGCAAACGGG
rnacentral:rRNA from 1 species